rnacentral:lncRNA from 1 species
CCCUAUAUCGUUUUUGUCUGUUGUCAUCAAAUGUAAUUACGGUACUGACAUAAUUCUUAGUUUUAUUGUGAAAUUUAUAUACAUGCAUGCAUUAUGUUUUGUACUAUUCAUGAUGUAAAUUUUAAGCUUACAGGCUCACAGCUGUGUUUUCCUUCCCUCAUACUGUUCGACGAACUACUCACAUCAACCGACUAUGAUAAUCUAGUGUGACAUAAGUCAGUAUUAUUUAUUACCUUAUUGACAACAAUUUUAGUUUUAGUGAUUAAUAAAGUUUAUGCAUAUCGAUUUUAGACUAUUCAUGAUGUAUUUUGGCUGCCUAAAUGUCUGUUGUCCUACAAUUAACAAAGUACGUAUUUAUAGUGAAGAUGAAAAGAAUCGUGUCCAUAUACAUCGAUCAAAACUAUUUGGGGAAAGUUUAUACAUUUAUCACAUAUGGUUACCUUAUCAAUUAAUUAUAAUUAUUAUUCCAAUUAAUUAACGAAAAAAGAUUGGACCUUUUUGAUAUUUCUUAUCUAAAUAUAUAUAUAUAUAUAUUGAAAUCCUAUCCUACAUAUACACUCACCUUGAUUAUCAACCAUCGUAUCAUCAAGCCAUCAAGGUAUAUGUGAAUUUUCUUGUAUCGAUUUUCUUUAUUUAUAGAAAUAAUAAAAUACCGUUUAAUUUAUUACUUCUUUCUUGGUGGAUUGAUU